rnacentral:rRNA from 1 species
AGCAGCCGCGGUAAUUCCAGCUCCAAUAGCGUAUAUUAAAGUUGUUGCAGUUAAAAGCUCGUAGUUGAAUUUCGGGAUCAAUUUAUCGGUCGUGCCUACGGUAUGAACUGGUACAAUUGGUUUCUCCCUUCUGACGAAGCAUGAUGCCAUUAAUUUGGUGUCGUGGGGAAUCAGGACUGUUACUUUGAAAAAUUAGAGUGUUUAAAGCAAGCAUUAGCUUGAAUACAUUAGCAUGGAAUAAUGAAAUAGGACGUUUGAUCCUAUUUCGUUGGUUUCUAGGAUCGACGUAAUGAUUAAUAGGGAUAGUUGGGGGCAUUAGUAUUCAAUUGUCAGAGGUGAAAUUCUUGGAUUUAUUGAAGACUAACUACUGCGAAAGCAUUUGCCAAGGAUGUUUUCAUUAAUCAAGAACGAAAGUUAGGGAUCGAAGACGAUCAGAUACCGUCGUAGUCU